UUAGUGGCGGACGGGUGAGUAACGCGUGGGUAACCUGCCAUAUACAGGGGGAUAACACUUAGAAAUAGGUGCUAAUACCGCAUAAGCGCACGGAGCUGCAUGGCUCAGUGUGAAAAACUCCGGUGGUAUAUGAUGGACCCGCGUCUGAUUAGCUUGUUGGCGGGGUAACGGCCCACCAAGGCAGCGAUCAGUAGCCGGCCUGAGAGGGUGGACGGCCACAUUGGGACUGAGACACGGCCCAAACUCCUACGGGAGGCAGCAGUGGGGAAUAUUGCACAAUGGGGGAAACCCUGAUGCAGCGACGCCGCGUGAGUGAAGAAGUAUCUCGGUACGUAAAGCUCUAUCAGCAGGGAAGAAAAUGACGGUACCUGACCAAGAAGCCCCGGCUAACUACGUGCCAGCAGCCGCGGUAAUACGUAGGGGGCAAGCGUUAUCCGGAUUUACUGGGUGUAAAGGGAGCGUAGACGGCAGCACAAGUCUGGAGUGAAAUCCCGGGGCUCAACCCCGGAACUGCUUUGGAAACUGUGCGGCUGGAGUGCAGGAGGGGUAAGCGGAAUUCCUAGUGUAGCGGUGAAAUGCGUAGAUAUUAGGAGGAACACCGGUGGCGAAGGCGGCUUACUGGACUGUAACUGACGUUGAGGCUCGAAAGCGUGNGGAGCAAACAGGAUUAGAUACCCUGGUAGUCCACGCCGUAAACNAUGAUUACUAGGUGUCGGGGGACCAAGGUCCUCCGGU
rnacentral:rRNA from 1 species